GUGUACCGUGGCCUUUUCAAACUCGCCCGGCUGGCAAGCAGGCUGGCUUUUGGAAUCAAGCAAUGCUGUUUUGAACUGCUGCCAAAUGACACAGCCUCUGCCGGCGCAGCUGAAACGUUUACAGCCUCCCCUCACUUCGACAGGAAGAGACACUGGGAGCAAAUUUGUAGGAGAGGGAGGGAAAACUUGGAAUAAAUCUUUGUCUGCAACUAAAGCCCGGCUUGCAUCGAGGAUUUCCUUCUGUGCUCGCACGCACACCCUGAUUUGGCACGGUGCCAUUCGGAAAGAUGUUUAAAAAAGAUGUUUUUUUUCCACUCUGGGAGAGUUGAACAUGGAACGGAUACGCUGGGAAGAGUUCAGCGAGUUCAGUUAAUACAAAAUAUGUAAAUGCUUCAAUAACAAAGGAAUGAUGACGUCACGAGCUGUGCUGCCCGGGACGCUGCCUGAUAGCAGACAGGACAAGCAGGGGGAAUCUUGGAUUUAUUUGAAACUAUGCCAUGGGUACGGGAGCGUGUUCCUGAUUUACAUCAGGGCAUUCUUGCACCAGGAAGAGGACCAUGUGUAACGACUGAUGCAUUUGAGUUACUUUUUCAUGGUAAGGAACUUGACGACCUGCAGGAGCCUUGCAAACUUUGAGAAUUUGCAACUGUCACGUUGAGACCGCGUUGCACACGGCAGUCACUUCCCCGAUGCUUAUCUGAAUGUUACUUUCUUCGCUACUCUCAAACGAAUUACUGCACACAAAGUUCAACUUAGGUAAUGAUGUCAAACUUGACAUAUGAGUCAUAAAACCGCAAGAAUCAGCCGUCAAGUGGGAUCUACUCUGACUCUUUGAGGAAGUGCUAUAGAUGAAAAAGAAAUCCAAAACACAGGCAGUGCCCGAACAGCCUGUGGAUGUGUCUAAUUAUUAGCGGGGAGUAUAACUGCUUGAACUACCUGGGACGGAUGCCAAAUUGUUACAAAGGCAAUCAUUGCAUUCUCGAGAAUGAGCGGAAUCAAGACUUCGUCCUUUCGCACUUCUUUCGGGUGGGGGUUACUUAUCGUUUUGGAGAAACCACGAAAGGCAUUGACUUAUUACAGAAGAGCUUAUUCACAGUGGUUCAAAAUCACCCUGUGCCAAAGUGGGCAGGGAGAAAGUGCUCGUGGUGAGGCGGGUGAAGUGGAGGCCGCUCUACGUGCUCUUUCUUCAGCCACAACCCCGUGGAAGAGAAUAUUUGGUGGCAGCACAUUUCUGGGUUUCUCUCUGUCAGUUAACCGCACUUCAUGCACGAAUGCGAAUCUGCUCUUCCUGACGCCAUGACCCCUACUUGCCUUCCCGUAGCAUUUGGCGUUCGAGUCACUAGCCUGCAGGUAUUCUAGCCGUCUGCGGUCCGGUUGGUUAACAUCUGAUGGUUAUCUGUCUGCUGUUCUUGGGGCUGAGGUAGUAGAUUGAAUAGUUGUGGAGCCUUGUGCUCUGUCACUGAGAAAACUAUACAAUCUACUGUCUUUCCUAAGGCGACAGCCAAAUCGUCCACAAACAACACAGCGUUAUCGGAAACAGUCCCCGUACACACUUCCUGCCAAUGAACCUUCAGCAACAUUCGGUUUCUCCAUCUCUGUUCUUUGGUAUGAUUUUAAAGUCAGCAUGAAAUGCAAAUGAACCCUGGUUACUUUACAAUUAAGUUUUACGUGAAUGCAUUUUGCAUUUUUAUCCAAAGCAACUUAACAGUACCGUAAUACAUUUAUCUGUGUUUCCUCAGUGAUCUUUGCACUGAUAACACCAUGCUCUAUCAUUCGAGCAUUGCUUUCUUAACUUUCUAAGUAUACCUUGCAUAAUUCUAAAUGCACGUUUUAGAACAAAAUGCAUUUGUAAUCGUCAACAUGUACAGUUAUAAUUUCCUUUUUGACUGACAUCACCAAACUGUUGUUUUUCAACACCUCCACUGUUUAUAAUAUAGAGACGACGCCCAGGAAGUUGGGCCUGUCCAUUCUGUUUUCACAACCCAAUUAGUUCUUGAUGAAUUGUAGUCCCGCUUUACAUUUUUUUCUAGUUUAAUCUCCUGUUUUGCUUAGAAACCCAUCAGAUUAUGAAAGUAAAAUUGGAGUCAAUGCCUUUCAUGUUGACCAUAAAAAUGCACCAUUUAUGGUAAACGUUAGUUAUUGGCAAGGAAAUGAAGUAAAGGAAAGUGUGUAGUUUUUGAAGUAUUUUAAAAUAAACAUACUCCCAAACAUUCACCCAUCUUUCAAUUGUCAGGCAAACAGAUAAUCCUUCCCCAAAUUAAUGUCAUUGUUUGAGCCAAUGUUUACAUUUUGGUGCCCUGUCAGGGUGAGGUAGUAGGUUGUAUAGUUUGGUGGGAGGGAUCAAACCCUGUUCAGGUGAUAACUAUACAGUCUAUUGCCUUCCUUGUGGUACCAACUAUCUGCCGGCUAGCAAAAAAGCAUCUCUGUGGCUUAAAGUAUUUUUUCCACACUAAUACCAAACACAUCUGAAGCAGACGUACACGAUGUUGGUCUCUCUAAUGCAGGCUUAAGAUGCUGCUAUAGUAUUUCAUGAGGACAAUAAAUCAGAUUAAAUCAGAUUUACUGAGCUGGGAUUUAUGGCUAAAUCAAUAUUUUAGCUUUGCAGUUGGAAUGUAUUUCUGUGGAGAGAUCAGACAGAUUUUACACACGUAGCAUGAAAUGUUCACUAUUGUAUUAGACAAGAAAAUGGCUUGUAAAUAUGUAAAUAACAUUAAACAAUAUAACAAAUCACC